CUAUAUGUGUGUGUGUAUGUGGCUGUGUGGUAAGAAGUUUGCUUCCCAACCACCUGGUUCCUGGUUCAGUCCCACUGCAUGGCACCUUGGACAAGUGUCUUGUACUAUAGCUUUGGGCUGACCAAAGCCUUGUGAGUGGUUUUGGUAGAGGGAAACU